AGCAAGAAAGCAAGGAUGGACACAGGGAUGGCACAGAGAAGCCCAGACUUUUUUAAUUUCAGAUUGCAUUGCAUUUCUUCUGUGCCUUCCCCUCCUCCAUGGUAAACACCUGAGGCAAGGAAAUUCCAGCUUGAGUUAACAGAGAGUGAUUCCAGAUUCACCUAAGGGAAAGAGAAAUAGAAACUGAGAUGUUAAACUCUGAAUAUUGAAAAAUGCCCUAGCACACUAUUCCCAGACCAUUCAAAGGGUACUAAAGUGUGCUGGGGGAGCUUGUCUCUGCUCCAUACCUCUCCUGCAGCACAGCCUUCCCUCUGUCUCCCUAUUGCCCUGCCAGUAGCACAGAGCAGAGCAAAGCACCCGACCCUGUGGGGCCAUUAGUUGUUCUGAAAGCAAACCUUUCCCUUCCCACAGUGAGCUCAGCAACACCCAGCAGCCCCUCAGGGAAGAAACUCAGCUACAUUGCAGCCAUCCAUCUCCCUGAUCCCACCAAGCAGCUCUCCACUGAUUUUAUGUUACAGCCCAAAGAAGUGCGUUGUGCUCGGGCUUUUCCCCCUCUGGUUGGAGGAGUAAUUGCAUUUGUCACCUCUGUUCCUACACCCACUGCAAGCGAGCCAUUAUUCUCAUUUACAAACAGGCUCCUAUCUGAAACCAAUGGAGUCUCAUGCAGGCGACAGCACGUGAGCACCCUGACAGCCUGUGCCUGGAGCCACACAGAUGGACACGCUGUCCCCUGGUGCCAGCGGAUGGAUGCUUUUAUAUGAUGCUUUUAUAUGGAUGCUUUCAUAGGCCCCCAAGGGAAGGGAAGAUGUCGUGUCAAUAAACUUUGGUGAAGUUCAGAGCAAGCCUCAACAUGGCUCUGUGAACUCCAUCCCAGGGUGGGAGAGAAGCAGCUUUCCCUUCCUCCUGCACUGGCUCAAUGAGCCUUGUCCCUGAGGAGAGCCCAGAAACACUACCACUUAGAAGAUAUGGCAAAAUAGGCUUUGGCUUUCUGCUCAGGUUGGGAAAGAAAUGACUGAGGGAAACUGUGAUGAAGGUCUGUAAGCUCAGGAGUGACAUGGAGAGGGUGAGUGGUGAACAACAGCUCACUGGUUCCAUAGCACAAGGAUGAGGUGGUAUUAAACUAGUGGGCAGCAGGUGAGAAACAAACAAAAAAGAGGGUUGUAUUCAAAUGACAUAGAAGACAUCUAGAAGCUCCAUGCAGCACUACCCUAUGGGUGCCGAGGGGUUACCUGGUCUUGAAGGAAGACUGAGCACAUCCACAGAAAAUAAGUUCUGUGAGGAUGGUUACAUGUGUAGACACAACAACUGGCUGGAGAAGUCAUAGAAUCCUAGAAUCACUGGAUUUGGAAGGGACCCUUAAGGGCCAUUUGGUCCUACCCCCUUCAAUGAACAGGGACACCCACAGCUCCAUCAGGUGCUCAGAGUCUCGUUCAGCCUGACCUUGGGUGUCUCCAGGGACAGGGCAUCCACCGCCUCUCUGGUCCCUGAGCCAAAACCAAGAGGGGCUGUGGGGACACUCAGGGGAUCUGUUAUCCCACAUCUGCUCUAAGGCCUGGCUUGGGGCGGCCGUGCCCGUGCUCACCCAUGGAUCCUAAACGGAGGACCGACUCCACAGUGAACCUCAUUUGGAGACACCUUCAAGGUAGCUACAUGCUUAAGGCAGGGCCUGCUUUCAUUAAAAGUGUCCAUACUUAAACAGCCUGAGCCAGCUGCUAUAAAAAUGCGUGACUGAGAGCAGGCUGGGCAUUGCUUACUGCAUGCUCUCCAAGUGGCUUCAUUUCCAGCUGUGGAUUCAAAGGGAAAACACUAUCAAGUGCUUAGAUAGUGGUUUUCAUUUUCCACUGCUUUCUAAUCAGUGACUAAUUAAUUCUCAAUGCCCCUGUGAGGUAAAUAUAUCUGUUUCAUGCAUUAAUACAUAUAUAUAUUAUGUUUGAUCUUUCCUUAACAAGUCCCUGUAGCCCUGGAAAUCCGCCCUGAAAAGAGAGCGGGGGGGUGGGGGGAUGUGGGGGGGAACAGCACCAGCUUUGAAAUCCGAAAGAUCUUCAUUUGUGAGUUAGGCUGAAAGUAGAAAGGAAAUAGGCAGGUCUGUUCCCACUGAGGGACUGGUUUGCCUCAAUUUGUAUUUAGUAAGUGUACCGCCAAAAAGUAUUUAAUGCAUAAUGUAUAAUAUAACUAGCACGACACUAAAUAAUAACCUGUGCCUUUAAACAUUAAUGACUGUUUGUGACAAUUUCUUUUGAAUUUCAAAUUACACUGAAAAUAUUGUCAGCAAUAAAAAUAAGCCUGCAAUAAAUAAAUGAAUUAUUGGUGC
ensembl:lncRNA